UCAAAGGUUGCUCAAAGGAGGCAAACAGAACAACUAGAACGUUGUAAUUAUUUUGUAACAAGUGAUUUUACCUAACUUCUAUGACGUUGGAUAAAUCUAUGACCUGCCAUAUUCUCUCCAAAAAAUAGAAGGGUUAAUUUCAGCUAGCAAACAAGCUCAGCCAGGUCCUGUAUCUCAUCCACCCCAUCAGUAAUAUCUCACAUCAUUCCAGCAAUCUCAAGAAUUACUCCAACUGAGUCACAUUCUGGAAAUGUGUUUGGACUAUUCAGCGUGGCUCUCAUGAUGACCUUAGUGUUCUCAUAAUUAGAGAUACUGAAGACCUUACCUUCUCUGCCAUGUGAGGAUACAGGAUGAAGGUGUCACCUGCAAGCCAGGAAGAAAGUCCUCAUGAAGACCUGACCAUAUGGCAUCCUGAUGUUGGGCUUCUGGCCUCCAAAAUCAUGAUAAAUAAAUUUCUGCUGUCUACAAAA